GACGGAGGGUGCUAGCGUUGUUCGGAAUGACUGGGCGUAAAGGGCGCGUAGGCGGCCGCUUGCGUCGGAUGUGAAAGCCCGGGGCUCAACCCCGGAACGGCAUCCGAUACGGGGCGGCUCGAGACCGAGAGAGGUGAGUGGAAUACCCAGUGUAGAGGUGAAAUUCGUAGAUAUUGGGUGGAACACCGGUGGCGAAAGCGGCGCACUGGCUCGGUUCUGACACUGAGGCGCGAAAGCGUGGGGAGCAAACAGG
rnacentral:rRNA from 1 species